UCUUAAGCUGAGUGUCCCGCGGGGCCCGAAGCGUUUACUUUGAAAAAAUUAGAGUGUUCAAAGCAGGCCCCGAGCCGCCUGGAUACCGCAGCUAGGA
rnacentral:miRNA from 1 species